rnacentral:sRNA from 1 species
AGCUGCUGGGGCCAGGGUGGAGCCCUGCCCUCCUCAGAGCCUGGCCUACCUGUGCCAGGACUACCAGCCUUCCCUCUUUCUCUAGGGACCUGGCUGCGGGGCCACAGCUGUCUAAAACAGGGACAGUGCCUUUCUCCCCACAGAUCAGCGAGAAGUGCGCCGCGUGGCUCCUCGUUUCUCCAUCCCUCCCAGCAGCCAGGAGGUGAUGCCAGGCGGCAGCGUGAACCUGACAUGCGUGGCAGUGGGUGCACCCAUGCCCUACGUGAAGUGGAUGAUGGGGGCCGAGGAGCUCACCAAGGAGGAUGAGAUGCCAGUUGGCCGCAACGUCCUGGAGCUCAGCAAUGUCGUACGCUCUGCCAACUACACCUGUGUGGCCAUCUCCUCGCUGGGCAUGAUCGAGGCCACAGCCCAGGUCACAGUGAAAGCUCUUCCAAAGCCUCCGAUUGAUCUUGUGGUGACAGAGACAACUGCCACCAGUGUCACCCUCACCUGGGACUCUGGGAACUCGGAGCCUGUAACCUACUAUGGCAUCCAGUACCGCGCAGCGGGCACGGAGGGCCCCUUUCAGGAGG